UACGUAGGUGGCGAGCGUUGUCCGGAUUUAUUGGGCUUAAAGGGCGCGUAGGCGGCUUUGUAAGUCAGUGGUGAAAUACUGCAGCUUAACUGGAGGGGUGCCAUUGAUACUGCGGAGCUUGAGUACAGAUGAGGUAGGCGGAAUUGACGGUGUAGCGGUGAAAUGCAUAGAUAUCGUGAAGAACACCGAUGGCGAAGGCAGCUUACUGGGCUGUAACUGACGCUGAGGCACGAAAGUGUGGGGAGCAAACAGG
rnacentral:rRNA from 1 species